UUUUCUUUUGUCCUUAAGACUUGUUCAAUGAUUUUAGUGUUAUAUUGGUUUUCUUUAAAGCUAAAGGUUUGGAUUAGAGUUGUUUAUUAUCAUUUUGUUGUUGUUAUUUUUAUGUUGUUGUUCUUCUCCUUUGUUGUUAUUAUAAUAAUUAUUAUUAUUAUUGUUAGUAUUAUUAAAAGGGAGGAAAGGGGCUUUUUGUAUUAUUUGAGUCUUCCUAUUGUUGCUAAGAAAUAAAGAUUUUAGUUGAUAUUAUUUUCCCUCUAGUUCAGUUUCAGUGGUCAAGUUGAAAGUUAAUUUGAUUUAGUUUUACAUCAGUUUUGAGGUUUCUUCUGGGACUGUUUAAGGUAUCACAAUUUCAGGAUUUAUAGACAACCCCUAGGUCCCGUUGCAUCCACGGCCUGGUCACCUAAGCUGGACCAGGGGAUGGUAAUUUUGGGGAUUAUGUAAAGAUUUGAAAGAGUCCAACUGGAUUGUGGGUCUGUUCAAAUUGGACGUGUGUGGUGCACCAUGGGCUGUGCAAUGGUGAGGCUAACCCUCAUAGAAGACUGGGCUACGAUUAAGGUCCUGAUGCCCUGGACCACCGCACCCUGCGUGCUGUUCCUAGAAGCGGAACCCAGGGGGGUCGCAUACGUACCUGACCUGACCAGCACAGACCAGUUGUUAACACCGCUAGGUUUCCCCUAGCCUGGCCGAUCAGGGCUGAAGUUGGGUCUCACAUUUCUCCCUCCUAUAGGGUUAAGGUGAGUACAGGUGGGGUCCCCCGUCCCACCGGGAAACUAAACACUAAAACUAAAAUUAAAAAAUAAAUAAAAUUAAGCUAAACCCCAGGAAAUCCCCCUCAGGAAUGACCAGGACCAGCCCCGACAAGGCGUUGCCUUCCCGGACACCCCGAGGGCAGGAAGGUCCAGGGCCAGCCCCGACAGAGCGUUGCCUCCCUGGACCCCCAAGACCUCCAUACUAUCGCUAUGACUAACAGAACAAGAGUCCCCGAGAGUCCCCUCCAGAAGCGACCAGGACCAGCCCCGACAGAGCGUUGCCUUCCCAGUCACCUCAGAGGUGAUCGGGUUCCCAAAAGAAAGGGGAAUUUUUUGGAGGAGAAAUACAGUGAUCGGGUUCCCAAAAGAAAGGGGAAUUUUUUUGGAGGAGGAAUACAGUAAGUAAGGGUGAUUGAACUGAUAAACGGAUCCAGAUGAAUUAAGUUGUCUAAGGAGAGAGAGGGACAGAGAGAGAGAGAGAGAGAGAGAGAAAGAAAAAGAAAGAGGACGGGAGUAGGAACAGGUACAAGCUGUGGGAUCGUCACAGCGCUAAGGCUGAUCUUACGCUUCACCACAGCCCCGCCGGACUAGGCUUAACCUGUUUCUCCCUGCCCCCCCAGAAAAGGGAAUCAAAGAUCCCCCCAGGGGAAGGAAGGGAGAGGAAAGCAAAGGUAGAUGUUAGAACAGAGUAGAUGUUAGAAUAAGGGGCACUUGUGUCUCUAGGGAACCCGGACUGUCCGAUGGCACAGGCGGGUUAGGGUUAGUAGAAUAUCUCUUUGAUCCUCCCCGUUUGGUCCGCCGACUCAACGGUUUGGUGUAGAGGGUCAAAGGAAAUGCACGGGCCGACGCAUAUCGCUACUAGGCUCCCCGUACAAUGUGCCCCAUCUACAACAGUAGUUCUAUUUUUAGUCCCGUAGGUUAGGGUUAGGUUUUGGAGUAUAUUUUGUUCCUCUUUCUAGGGUGUAGGGUUCUGGAUCCGGAUUAAUACAGAGUAUGAUUAACCUUCUGAUGUUUUUAGAUUGUAUUUUAAAGGUUAAGAUUGAGGUCUCAUUAGGUUAAAUUAAGGGGUUUGUCAAAUGGUAUGAGGUCCCAGUUAGGGUUAGGGGUAGGAUAGAUAAGGUUAAGGUUGAGGUCUGAUAAGGGUAAAUUAAGGGGUUUGUUAAUGGUAUGAGGUCCCAAUUAGGGUUAGGGGUAGGAUAUAAAAGGACUAAGGUUAGGGUUAGGGUUUCGGGUUAGGGUUAGGGCAAGAGAUGGGAGAGGUUAGGAUUAGGGUUAGGGAAGAGAAAGGGUUAGGGUUAGGGCCUGAGGAGGGGGAGGUUAGGGUUAGGAUAAGGAAAUGGGAGAGGUUAGGGUCAGGGUUGAACAAGAAGGAAUGAAAGAUUAAGGUUAGGCAAGGGAAGAGAGUUAGGGUUGGAGUCAGAGAGGGUUAGGGUUAGGGAAAAGAAGAGGGUUAGGGUUAGGGCAAGCUGUGAGAGAGGUUAGGGUUAAGAUAAGGAGAUGGGAGAGGAGGGUUAGGGUUAGGCAGGAAAGUUAGGGUUAGAGUCAGAGAGGGUUAGGGUUAGGGCAUAGGAUGGGAGAGGUUAAGGUUAGGGUUAGAAAGGGUAGGAGAGGUUAGGGUUAGGAAAAGGAGAUGGGAGAGGAAGGUUAGGGUUAGGAAGGAGAGUUAGGGUUAGAGUCAGAGAGGGUUAGGGUUAGGGCAUAGGAUGGGAGAGGUUAAGGUUAGGUUAGGAAGGUUAGGGUUAAGGUUAGGGUUAGAGAGGGUUAGGGUUAGGGUUAGGGUUAGAGAGGGUUAGGGUUAGGGUUAGGGGUUAGGGUUAGGGUUAGGGUUAGAGAGGGUUAGGGUUAGGGGUUAGGGUUAGGGUUAGGGUUAGAGAGGGUUAGGGUUAGGGUUAGGGGUUAGGGUUAGGGUUAGGGUUGGACAAGGAAGGAAAGAGAGUUAAGGUUAGGUAAGAAAGGAGAAGAGAGUUAGGGAUAAGCAAAAGAAAAAGGAAACAAAGGAGAGAGAAAAAAA